rnacentral:ncRNA from 2 species
CUCUUAUCAAGAGCUGGCGGAGGGAUUUGGCCCUGUGAUGCCCAGCAACCGACCAUAAUACCAUUGUGAAAUGGGGCGCUUCAAUUGGCGCCAGAAACCACGUUGUUUCUGUAAGGCACGGUGCUAAUUCCAACAGAAAGAUGUUCUUUCUGGUAGAUAAGAG